rnacentral:rRNA from 1 species
UUUUAUUAGAGGUGUUUUCUGCUCGGUGUUUGUAUAACAGCCGCAGUAAUUUGACUGUGCAAAGGUAGCAUAAUCAUUUGCCUCAUAAUUGGGGGCUUGUAUGAACGGUAUUACGAAAGUUUAACUGUCUUUUAUUUAUUUAUAUAAUUUGUAUUUGGUGUGAAGAUACAUUAAUUUUUUAGUGGGACAAGAAGACCCUUUUGAGCUUUAUUUUGUAAUUUACUUUUUGUUUGUGUUUAAUUUGGUUGGGGCGACCUAGGAAGAGGAAGUUUUAAUUAUUUUAUCUUCCUUUUAGUUUUAAAGAACCAUUAUUUUUGGGAUAUAGAUUGAGUUACCAAAGGGAUAACAGCGUAAUUUUUUUUGAGAGUUCUUAUUAAAAAUGAAGAUUGCGACCUCGAUGUUGACUUAUAGUUUCCUUUUGGUGCAGUAGCUAAUAGGGUAGGUCUGUUCGACCUUUAAUACUU